GCCGGUUUGCCCGAGUGGUCCAAGGGGUUCGACUUAAGAUCGAAUAGACAACGUCUGCGUGAGUUCGAACCUCACAGCCGGCA